rnacentral:rRNA from 1 species
AGUGAACGCUGGCGGUAGGCCUAACACAUGCAAGUCGAACGGCAGCACAGUAAGAGCUUGCUCUUACGGGUGGCGAGUGGCGGACGGGUGAGGAAUACAUCGGAAUCUACUUUUUCGUGGGGGAUAACGUAGGGAAACUUACGCUAAUACCGCAUACGACCUACGGGUGAAAGCAGGGGAUCUUCGGACCUUGCGCGAUUGAAUGAGCCGAUGUCGGAUUAGCUAGUUGGCGGGGUAAAGGCCCAACAAGGCGACGAUCCGUAGCUGGUCCGAGAGGAUGAUCAGCCACACUGGAACUGAGGCACGGUCCAGACUCCUACGGGAGGCAGCAGUGGGGAAUAUUGGACGAUGGGGGAAAGCCUGAUCCAGCAAUACCGCGUGGAUGAAGAAGGCCUUCGGGUUGUAAAGCCCUUUUGUUGGGAAAGAAGAGCAGCAGGUUUAUACCCCGCUGUUCUGACGGUACCCAAAGAAUAAGCACCGGCUAACUUCGUG